AACGAACGCUGGCGGCAUGCCUAACACAUGCAAGUCGAACGAGACCUUCGGGUCUAGUGGCGCACGGGUGCGUAACGCGUGGGAACCUGCCCUUAGGUUCGGAAUAACUCCCCGAAAGGGGUGCUAAUACCGGAUAAUGUCUUCGGUCCAAAGAUUUAUCGCCUUUGGAUGGGCCCGCGUUGGAUUAGCUAGUUGGUAGGGUAAAAGCCUACCAAGGCGACGAUCCAUAGCUGGUCUGAGAGGAUGAUCAGCCACACUGGGACUGAGACACGGCCCAGACUCCUACGGGAAGCAGCAGUGGGGAAUAUUGGACAAUGGGCGAAAGCCUGAUCCAGCAAUGCCGCGUGAGUGAUGAAGGCCUUAGGGUUGUAAAGCUCUUUUACCCGGGAUGAUAAUGACAGUACCGGGAGAAUAAGCUCCGGCUAACUCCGUG
rnacentral:rRNA from 1 species